rnacentral:rRNA from 1 species
GAUUCUGGCUCAGGAUGAACGCUGGCGGCGUGCUUAACACAUGCAAGUCGAACGAAGCAGUUUAUCACGAUCCCUUCGGGGUGACGAUUACUGACUGAGUGGCGGACGGGUGAGUAACGCGUGGGUAACCUGCCUUGUACAGGGGGACAACAGUUGGAAACGACUGCUAAUACCGCAUAAGCGCACGGAAUCGCAUGAUUUUGUGUGAAAAGAUUUAUCGGUACAAGAUGGACCCGCGUCUGAUUAGCUAGUUGGUGAGGUAAUGGCCCACCAAGGCGACGAUCAGUAGCCGACCUGAGAGGGUGACCGGCCACAUUGGGACUGAGACACGGCCCAAACUCCUACGGGAGGCAGCAGUGGGGAAUAUUGCACAAUGGGCGCAAGCCUGAUGCAGCCGACGCCGCGUGAGCGAAGAAGUAUUUCGGUAUGUAAAGCUCUAUCAGCAGGGAAGAUAAUGACGGUACCUGAUUAAGAAGCACCGGCUAAAUACGUGCCAGCCGCAGC